ACGGCUCAGUAACACGUGGAUAACCUACCCAAGAGUCCGGGAUAACCCCGGGAAACUGGGGAUAAUACCGGAUAGGUCAAACUUGCUGGAAGGCUGUUUGGUUGAAACCUCCGGGGCUUUUGGAUGGGUCUGCGGCUGAUUAGGUUGUUGCCGGUGUAACGUACCGUCAAGCCUGUAAUCAGUACGGGUUGUGGGAGCAAGAGCCCGGAGAUGGAUUCUGAGACACGAAUCCAGGCCCUACGGGGCGCAGCAGGCGCGAAAACUCUACAAUGCAGGCAACUGCGAUAGGGGAACAUCGAGUGGCUGUCAUAUUGAUAGUCUGUCCACCCGCCUAAAAAGCGGGUGUUAGCAAGGGCCGGGCAAGACCGGUGCCAGCCGCCGCGGUAAUACCGGCGGCUCGAGUGGUGGCCGAUAUUAUUGAGUCUAAAGGGUCCGUAGCCGGCUUUGCAAGUCUCUCGGGAAAUCCAGCGGCUUAACCGUUGGUCGUCCGGGGGGUACUACAUUGCUUGGGACUGGGAGAGGUAGGAGGUACUCAGGGGGUAGGAGUGAAAUCCUGUAAUCCUUUGGGGACCACCGGUGGCGAAGGCGUCCUACCAGAACAGGUCCGACGGUGAGGGACGAAAGCUAGGGGCACGAACCGGAUUAGAUACCCGGGUAGUCCUAGCCGUAAACGAUGCUCGCUAGGUGUCGCAACAGUCGUGAACUGUUGCGGUGCCGCAGGGAAGCCGUGAAGCGAGCCACUUGGGGAAGUACGACCGCAAGGUUGAAACUUAAAGGAAUUGGCGGGGGAGCAC
rnacentral:rRNA from 1 species